AUUGAACGCUGGCGGCAGGCCUAACACAUGCAAGUCGAACGAGUGGCGGACGGGUGAGUAAUGUCUGGGAAACUGCCCGAUGGAGGGGGAUAACUACUGGACACGGUAGCUAAUACCGCAUACAAUCAGUUGUGCCUAGAUGGGAUUGGCUAGUGGGGGGGGUAACGGCUCACCAAGGCGACGAUCCCUAGCUGGUCUGAGAGGAGGACCAGCCACACUGGAACUGGGACACGGUCCAGUCUCCUACGGACGGACGCAGUGGGGAAUAUUGCACAAUGGGCGGAUGCCUGAUGCAGCCAUGCCGCGUGUAUGACGACGGCCUUCGGGUUGUAAAGUUCUUUCAGCGGGGAGGCGUUACCCGCAGAAGAAGCACCGGCUAACUCCGUGCCAGCCGCCGCGGUAAUAC
rnacentral:rRNA from 1 species